rnacentral:lncRNA from 1 species
CCCAACUUUUCCCCACCACGCAAUUAUGCAACUAAAUCAAGCUAAUUCAAUAACUCUCCCACUUAGCUCACAUCUCCCUCUAUUUGCACAACUCCAGCCAAGAAACAAAACAUUUCCUAUCAUUUUCACCGUGAGUCCUCUUCAAAGAGCAGGAAGUCUCCAUUUCGUCCAGCCAAAUUCUUAAGGUAAGCUUUGCUAUAAUCUUCCAUUUUCUUCCAUUAUCCGCCUGUAAUCAGCCCGCAAUCACUGAGACAACAACACAAAUUUAUUUCAGUUCCAGUUCAUUCACCACACCACAACCGAAAAGUGAGAGAAAUCACUCAUUCACUCCCUGCCAGAAUCAAUAAGUUCAGUCAUUCCAAUUCAUUCAACUCCAACAGCCAUCAAUCAGUUCGAUCAUAUUCAAGGUAUUAUACUAUCUCGAAUUUCAAUCCAAUCAAGCAUUCAUGUCAACAUGUUCAAGCUAUGGCAUUACAACUAUGUCGAUUCAUUCACUGUUAUUUUACGCUUUAGAACGACAAACCAUGAGUAUUCUGCCCUUAACAACUAGUUAUUGAAGUAGAAGAAGAAUGAAAAUAGAGAACUUAGCUUUAGAUUGAGUGGUAGUGGACUGUCGAAGCGGCGACGUUCGGCGAUAGAACUCCAGGCCGCGACUCGGCAAAAAAAAACAGCAGCUGUAGUUGGUGGCGUGGCUCGAACCUUCGACUCCGGAGAUAGCAGCAACGGCGGACUCUCCCCUGCUCGCCGGAAAUCGCAUCGCAGCAGCGGCGGUGCUCACCGAUUCUGGAGUGCAGUGACACGGCGAAGCCGAAGAUUCCAGUGGUAGCAGCGGCGUCGGGGCUCGGAGAAUCGACGGAGACAACAGACUUUCGACGGUGAAGUCCGAGAACGGCAACAGCAGCAGGCGGCUUAGCUGCUGCCCGUCGAUCCAGAGAGAGAAAAGGGGGCUGGACAGCGGCUGGAUGCGAAACUGGUCGACGGAGGGAGAGAUGACGGGCCAAUCAGCUACUGCUCGGCCACGACCAAAGAAGAUUCGAGGGAGCAAAGUGAGAGGCGGAUCUGGUGUUGAGCAGAGGUAGAGAAGCGGCGGCUAUUUUUGAGUUGCUGUCGCCGGAAACGGCGGAGAGGGGAGAGCAGUGAGUGACGACAACUUAUCGCCACUGCUCGCUCCGGCGAGCUCCGACGGCGGUGACUGAGAGAGAGAGAGAUGAACGGAUCUUGAGAAGAAAAAGAAAGAGAUUGAGUUGAAGGAGAGGGCGACUCGACAAUGAUGUCGCCGGAUUGCGGAGCGGCAGCGGCUGACGCAUCGGAUGAAAGAAUCGAGAGAGAGAGAGCUCGAUUGAAUUCAGCGAGAGAGAAGAAGAAGGGGAUGAGCUUCCAGAGAGAGAGAAAGGCGUGAAUUGUGAAGUAUAAGAGAGAGAGCCGAUUUAUUUUAGGAAUGGGCUUUUCAAUUUGUUUGGGCUUCUAUUUAAUUUAAUUGGGACCGAAAAUUUGGGCCUUUAUUUUCUUUUCUUUGGGCUGCUGUAUCAUUUCAGUUGGGCCUUAUUUAUUUUAAUUCUAAAUUGGGCUUUAAUUUAAUUCAUUGGGCUUUUGUUAUAUUAUCUUCGUUGGGCCUCGUUUGAUUUAAUUGAGCCCAGCUAAUCAAAUUAUUUAUUUAUUUGGUCAAGAUUUAUUUAAUUACUUGAGCCGAUGAGUUAUUUCAAUUGGGCCUCUCAUGUUAAUUAUUCAAGCCCACUUCUACUUAAUUAAUUAUUAGGCUGUCUUAUGUUGAGCCUUUUAAUUAUUUAAUCUUAUAACAUUAUUUGUUUCUAUUUUUUUUAAGUCCGAUUAAUUAUGAGGUUAUAAAGUGAAUAAGUUGAAGUAUUUAUUUAUUUUCUAAUGACUACGAGGAAUGGGGUUUAUUUGAUUGGCGGAUUAGAACACCCUAAGAGAACGGAUUAAUUUUUAUUAAUUAUCCGGCUUCAUGAGACGAGACUUAGCUUUUGUUUAAAUCCAAUAGCCUGGAUUAACAAUAGAAAUUCCCUAAUUAUUAUUUCAGAAUAAUAAUUCAUGCAUAAGGAUCAUGCAUAGUUAAAUACACAUACUCAUUUGUAGGAUUUUUAUUCGAGCAAAUAUCUUAUAUAUGUACAUAUAUUCUCGUAAUAAAGGUCAAGGGCGAGAUUGACAAUCUGUUGAGGAGCUUUUGUAUCACAGAAAAUCACUAUCAGGUGGGCAUUACUUUCAUAUAUAUCAAAUGAGUUUAAAUGUUACGUUCAAGCAAGUUAUUUCAUGACUAAAUUAAUUGAAGUUAUUUCAAAUAUUGUCUUGCCAUAAAAUAUUUAAAUUUCAGUAUGAUAUCUAUCUGAUGUGACUUUUAUUACGCAAUCGAAUUCGGGUCCUGAGCAGUUGAUAGCUAUCCUGCCAGGGCUAGUGUACACCAGUGACCGUGAGUCAUCUAGCGGGUUGGCCGGUCAAGUGACCGUGAGAGGUGGCCACCUCUCCGGCACACAGUUCCAGAUAUGAUAGAUUACAAGAGAACUUAGACUGCAGUCGAACUUUAAGAAUCACAAAUGAAUUUAGUAAGCUUGGGCUUUUAGCGAAAAACUCCCUUGCUGUACUGUUUAUUAUGGCAUGACAAUUUACAGUUUUGAAGCAUGUAUUUUUAUACUUAGGCAUACGUGCCCACUGAGUACUUUUGUACUCAAGCCCUGCAUAUAUUUCUAAAUGUGCAGGUUGAGCAGCUGCCGAUGUUGAUGAAGUGAUGAGCGGGAUUCUUUUGUCUUUUUAUGUAUUAAAGAACUCUAGGGUUACAUGUCUUCAUACAUGUAAUCAGAAUCAUAAUCCGCUGCGUACUCAGAAGUUUUAUGUUUAUUUGGCUAAGUCAGAGAUAUCUGAACUUAUUAGUUAUUU